UUUUUGGGGGUUUGCUGUUUUUUAUUUAUUUAUUUUUCCUUCUCUCUCUACGGUCUCUCCGUCUGGUGCAGUGGAGAGUAAUUCUCCAUGUCAGCUCUGGGAGAUGCCCAGCGGACGUCGUCUAGAGUCCCACCUGCACUACAGCACCACCUUCCUGCCUCUUCCUUUUUUCUGCCUCUGGCUCCUUGUUCCCCGGCUCCCACAGUAGCUUCUGGAUUUCAGAUAGUCCUCUAUUUUAUAUGUGCCUUCCAGAACAUCUCUUGUGGUAUCCACUACUUGGCAUCUGUGUUCAUGACAGUGUCCCCCUACCAUACCUGCCGGCCUCCGGGCAACGUGAGUCAGGUUCUUUUCCACAAUAUCUCUAGUUGGAGGUUGGAGGACAUCUGGAUCCUGUUUUUCACAGGCCAUGAAGAUCAGAUUAUAGUGCAGCUACAGAAUGGUGAGGUCUGGGAGCUCACAAGUUGUCACCGAUUCCGGAGGGAUGAAAAGUCUGGUUUGAACUCUGAUUAUAAUGGCCAGAAGAGCAGCUUUCCUUGUUUGGAUGGCUACAUCUAUGACAAGAGCAAGUGGGACAGCACCGUGGUGACUCAGUGGGAUCUGGUGUGUAACCGAGAAUGGUUUGCAAAGAUGGUCCAGCCCGUAUUUAUGUUGGGAGUCCUGCUGGGAGCAAUGAUUUUUGGCUACCUUUCUGACAGGCUAGGAAGACGGCUCGUCUUGUGGUCCACAAGCACUGGCAUAUUUUUCUUUGGCAUAGCAGUGGCUUUCUCAUCUGAUUAUUACAGCUUCAUGAUCGCACGCUUUCUCCUAGCCAUGUCUGGAAGUGGCUAUCUCGUGGUGGUGUUUGUCUAUGUGACGGAAUUUAUUGGCAUGAAGUCUCGGACGUGGGCAUGCAUCCAGAUGCAUUCCUUUUUUGCCAUUGGAACAAUGGUGGUGGCUUUGACAGGCUACUUUGUCAGGACCUGGUGGACCUAUCAGAUAGUCCUCUCCACAGUGACUGUCCCCUUUGUCGUGUGCUGUUGGAUACUCCCAGAGACACCUUUUUGGCUUCUCUCAGAGGGAAGAUAUGAAGAAGCACAGAGAGUAGUUGAUACGAUGGCCAAGUGGAAUAGGGCAAGCUCCUGUAAACUGUCAGAACUUUUGUCACUGGAUCUAAAUGGUCCUGUUGGUAAUGAACCCUUUGAAGUUAAGAAGCACAACCUAUUAGAUCUGUUUUAUGACUGGAAUGUUGGAACAAGGACACUUAUUGUUUGGCUGAUUUGGUUCACUGGGUGUUUGGGAUUCUACUUCUUCUCCUUGAAUUCUGUUAAUUUAGGAGGCAAUGAAUAUUUAAACCUCUUCCUCAUGGGUGCAGUGGAAAUUCCUGCCUACGUCUUCAUAUGCUGGGGGAUGGACAGUAUAGGGAGAAGAAACGUUCUGGUCUUCUCCCUUAUCUCAGGAGCACUGCUCUGUGGUGUGGUUAUGGUGAUCCCCAAGGUGAGUUAUUUUUAUGUUUUAUUGAAGGCAUGGUUAGUUAGUUAUACUAUGACAGUAAGGAUGAAGAUCAAUUCAGACAUAUGGACAGAGUAUAUACAUAAUAUUUUAAAAAACUGUUCUUUCCCUGUGUUGUAAGUAAUACAUGUUCAUUAUAAAAAAAUUAAGGAAAAAAGUGUUUUCUUUUUUUAAAAAGCCCAUAAUCCCACUUCCCAGGGAUGACCAAUGUUGUCUUUUGUAAACACAAUGGUGCUGAAUGAGGAAAGUUGAUCAUGUCUUCCAGUGAUUAUUAUUAUCUUAAACAUUCAUUCAUUCAACAAAUAUGUAUCCAGCAUCUCUUAUGUGCCAGGUGUUGUCCUAAGUGCUGAAGACACACAGUGAAUCAAGUUUCUAUAAGUAUGAAGAAAAACAAAACAGGAUGACGGAUGGAGAAUGUGUGUGUGUGUGUGUGUGUGUGUGUGUUUGUGUGUGUGUGUAACACAUGUGUUUAUUUUAUCCAGGGUGAUGAUCGAGGAUGGUGUGCCUCUCAGACAAGGUGACAGUUGAUUAGAAACCUGAAGGAGGGAGGAAUCCAAUAGAGACAUCUGAAGGAUACAAUGAGUUUUAUAUUCAGGACUGUUUCCAUUUAAAUAGUCCUGUUUUUCAUUGCAGUAGAUUAGUUGUUUCCAAUAGUUGUUUCCAAUUUCGGGUAUGCCUAAAUCCCUCAAGGAGCUUGUUCUUAAAAAUGCAGUUUCCUACUGAGAAAUACUGCCAUAAACUACUGAACCCACUUUCCCAUUCCUAUAUUUUCCUAUAUUCCUAUGUAACUCUUGCAUCCAGAAGUGCUCCUCCUCUUUCUCCCCCAAAACUGUUAUCAGAACCUGUGUUUUCAUUCUUGAUUUGGAAAAUAUGGUCACUCUAACAAUACUUUAAAAUACUUUCUAUAAUUUUCUCUAGGAUUAUAUAAUUAUUCAGUAAUAGUAUCUCACCAUUUAGAGCAGGGCAUGUUAAGUUUUGCAUAUUGUUUGAAAUUUACUUUAACCAGUGACUUCUUUUUAUAGUAAUACUUCAUUUAAUUCUCAAGGUUGGCAAAUCAUAUGUUUUAUGUAACUGAAAUUUCCAGCUGAUUGAUACACAACUAAUAUGAAUGCAGUAAAACUACUCAGGACCAGGGGGUUUGCUGCCAAUUUGAGGGAACUUCAACCAUACCUCUUUUUGUUUGUUUCUAAAGUGGUUUACAGAUAUACUAGUUGAGUUGAUGGCAGCUGUCUCUGAAGCUAGCUGGUAAAGAUUUAGGGGAACCCCAGAACCUUUAAGUUCUGUAAUGGUUAAGCCCCUGUGAUAAUGGGGAAAACAGGAGAGUAGCUGACAGGGAUUUCUAGAAACAGGGCACUAACUCUUAACCACAAAUUUCUUCCUUCUAAUGAAGUUUCUCCCCAAGUGGCAGUGUCAACACCCUUCAGUGUUUUUCAAGUUACAUUAAUUCAUUCAACAAACACUGUCUACAACAGAUACUGUCAACAGAUUCAUCCAACAAACACGCAGGAAUCAGGAUGACAAGGAUUACCUUGUUUGGACUGUGGUGGUGACUAUGGCUGGAAAAUUUGCCAUAGGGGCAUCGUUUGGCCUCAUUUACCUUUAUACGGCAGAGCUGUAUCCAACCAUGGUAAGGUCCCUGGCUGUGGGAAGCGGCAGCAUGGUGAGCCGUGUGGGAAGCAUCGUGGCCCCGUUCUGGGUUUCUCUCUCCAGCGCUUGGACCUUCC